UCCCUGGUGGCUCAGAUGGUAAAGAAUCUGUCUGCAACACAGGAGACCCAGGUUCGAUCCCUGGGUUAGGAA
rnacentral:tRNA from 1 species